AUAUGUUGACUUGAUUAUUCCAUAUAUGCUUCAGAUGAGUUGAUAUUGAUUGUGGUGAUAUUGAUGACUUACUCCAUAUUCUCUAUGUUGAGAUCAUGUUCAUCUUAUUAUUGAUCUUGAGAUUUCACCUCGAGCCAUGAUUAUAUCUGGUCUCAUGUGCAUAGUACUCUCUACUCCACUCACUGAGUAUUUAUAUACUCACUCCCCAGUUUGAUGUUUUUGAUUGCAGGAAAGGUAUUGUAUAGAGAGGAACAGGAUUAGUGGUUGCCUGCUAGCUGUGCCGCUCCAUAGUAUAGUAUAGUAUAAUGUAGAUAGAGGUUUAUCCCCUUUUGGUGUAUUAUAAACCUUCUAUUAUAUAUAGUGCAUAGUUACAGUCAUAGAUCCUGUUGUGGAUAUGGGUUUGACCAUGGAUGGAUUGGGAAGCAGGUAUAUAUAUAUGUGUGCAGAUCAAUUGUGUGCCUGUGAUAAUGUAUUGCUAUAUAUUGUCCAGGUUUAUUAUGUGACAGAUUAUGUGAUUGCUGCUCUGACAGGUAGUGUGUUAUAUGUAUUGAGAUAAUCCUGACAGGUCACCAUAGGAAAGGUGAUCAUUUUGUGCAUGCAUCAUGCCAAAAUUUUUCAGAAUUUAUGGAUGAUUGAUAGGUAGUAGGGUUCUACGUGGUGGCUGGUGGCCUUAUGCCUACCCGCACCCUAGGACCGUCGCGGCGGCCCGCCGGGAACGGGGCGGGGGUCGUGACAGU
rnacentral:lncRNA from 1 species